GACGAACGCUGGCGGCGUGCUUAACACAUGCAAGUCGAACGGAAAGGCCCUGCUUUUGUGGGGUGCUCGAGUGGCGAACGGGUGAGUAACACGUGAGUAACCUGCCCUUGACUUUGGGAUAACUUCAGGAAACUGGGGCUAAUACCGGAUAGGAGCUCCUGCUGCAUGGUGGGUGUUGGAAAGUUUCGGCGGUUGGGGAUGGACUCGCGGCUUAUCAGCUUGUUGGUGGGGUAGUGGCUUACCAAGGCUUUGCCGGGUACCCGGCCUGAGAGGGUGACCGGACACAUUGGGACUGAGAUACGGCCCGGACUCAUACGGGAGGCAGCGGUGGGGUAUAUUGCACAAUGGGCGGAAGCCUGAUGCAGCAACGCCGCGUGCGGGAUGACGGCAAUCGGGUUGUAACCCGCUUUCGCCUGUGACGAAGCGUGAGUGACGGUAAUGGGUAAAGAAGCACCGGCUAACUACGUG
rnacentral:rRNA from 1 species